rnacentral:lncRNA from 1 species
UACUCGAUUGGAUUUUGCUUUGUUCAACGCGAUUCUUCGUAAAUCUAUAGAUGAAAUACCAACAGAUCCAGUAGCUGACCCUAUUAGUGAUGUUGAAGUUCUUCCUAUUCCAGCAGGGAAAGCUAGCUUUGAGGCGGUGCACAACUGUAAAAUGUGGUGAUCAUCAAACCUGAAUUGUGUUUUACUCAUGAUAUAGGCGAUAUACAAAUGGGAAAUUUUUCAUUUUUGUUACUCUCAUGAUUUUAUCUAUUCGUGUCAACUUUUACUUCUGUAUGAAAUAGGUUGAACCUAAAUGAAUAUUUCUUUUGGUGAUUAAGUGUUGGUUAGUGAUUAUGAAUCAAAUAUUCAUCUACAAAUGACAUAUUGGAAACUGUUCCAGAUGGCUUGCUGAACUCUUUGAUAUCGAUGAUGACGAUUCACUCCAAGAUGAAAAUAGCUUAGACUCUGCUGAUGACGAUGAGAGAAAAUGUCAUGAUGCAUCAAUAAAGUCUUUCCAUCUCCUCAAUGCAUUGAGUGAUCUCAUGAUGCUUCCAAAAGAGAUGCUAUUAAAUCGUGCAGUCACAAAAGAGAUUUAGCCAGGGCUUCGAAUAUUAUUGUUUUACAUUAUCUGGUGGGAGUGUCAUAGUUAAAUCCUUAUUUAUAUAAAUUCUUUUGUUUCAUAGGUAUGUCUCAUGUUUGGUCCACCACUGAUAAGAAGGUUUCCUAACUCUUUUCCCUCGACGAGUUUUGCCCUGACCCAGUUAAUUCCAGGUUUGUCCAAUGCUGAAGUAUCUUAUUAUUUCCUUUUUGUUACUUCUCUACUCUCAAAGAAAGAUGCUUCAAGACAUUGAUUGCUCACAUAUGUUCUUCUUUUAGGAUCCUUUUGAGGCAGAGGAAGAUUCCAUUGUAAAUUUCCCGUAUGCCGCAACACCUGCCAGGUACCAGCCACCAUCAGCUGCUUCAGUUGCUGGUAUCCAUUCUCACCUGACGCUGAGUGGGUCAUCACUUCUCAAGAAAUUGUUAAGCAAUUUCACUUUGUUGCAAGAAUAAAUUCUUAAUCAAAGCAAACAAUUAAUUAAAUAUCAAGAGAGCAAAAAGAAGAGAACACUGAAUUUCUACGUAGAAAACCCUCCAAUGUAGAGAAAAAACC